AAAAAAAAAAAAAAACAACAACAGCAGCAGCAAAACGUCAGGUAGCCAUUUCAGCAUAUAAUGGUAACAUAGGACAGAGGAGGAGGAGGAGAACAGACAUAGCAGCAAGUCGCAUAAUCAAAAAAAGAAAACCAGACAGAGCUGUAGUGUCGUACGCGAUUAGGACUCUGAGCAGAGCUCGUCACCACAAGAGGCUUGACCCGUCGGCGAUUCUCGGCGUGACUCAGUUCCCCGAGUCCAGAAGGACCGUCUCGAGUUUCCAUCGGAGAUAUCACGGGGUUGUUGCACCCAAUCAAAAAUCAGGGAUACAAAACAGAGAAAUCGCUAGAGUAAGUAAUUAUGUAUGGCAUACACCAAGAGUACCGCUGCUGGGAAUCUUACUUUGGUGAUGGUUUAGAGGCUAGCGGUUUGAGAUGUGUUGAAGGAGAGUGAGUUCAAAGAAAACCUGGGUUCGAACAGGAAGUUCAAAGAAAAUAAAAGGCGGAGUGGAGCUGCCGUGACACGAAGUUCAUUAACAUAGCUAGAUCUCGCUAGUGCCACCUAUAUAUAUAACUAAUAUGGAGAAGGUGAUGGUGUUUCAAAAGACACUGAAGAGACAAAAGAUCAAGUUGAGUGUCGAUGCAAAAGAUUGGAUAUCCGAGUUGUCUGAAUCAAUUAAGCAGCGCAUUCUCUUUUUCUUGCCUCCAAAAGAUGCAGCACGUACUACUAUUGUGUCCAAGAUAUGGUAACAAGCAUGGAAAUCACUCCGUAGUAUAGAUUUUGAUUUUCAAAAUAUCCAUGGAUCGUUUUUCGAAAGCCAAGAUUCAGAGCCAGAGGAUGUGAAAUUAGAAAGUUCAUGAACUUUGUUGAUAAAACUUUGCAAAUACUCCAUGAGGAAAUGGUAAUAAUCCAAAAAUUUAUAUUGCCAAUGUCCCUUACUGAUGCUAAACAUGCUUCUUGUAUUGAUAACUGGCUUGAAUUGGCUACAAGAAAUUACAUCAAGGAGCUAGAACUAACCAUCAUAGGCAAGAAAAUUACUGAUUACACUUUGUCUAGGAGAAUUUUUGCUGUUGAAUCGUUGGCCAUAUUAAGGUUAUGGGGUUGUAAGCUGGUGGAACCCUUGUUUGGUGAAAAUACAAAAUUUAUUUGUCUGCAAGAGCUGUCUUUGUUGGCAAUUGAUCUAGAUGGAAAAAUGAUACGAGAACUUGUUUGCCACUGCCCUAUGCUUGAAGCAUUGGAGAUCUCAUGUUGCUCAAGGGUGGAUUAUCUUCAACUUCUUAAUCUUCCCAAGCUUAAGAAGGCAGAAUUUGACUCGUGUCUCACUAUUAAGAUUAAUGAAGCACCUAAUCUUCAAAUACUUUCUGGUACAGGUAUUGUUAGUAGUUUACUUUUGGAUAUGUCUACUUCAGAAAAUGUAAAGAAGCUGAAAAUUGGUUAUGUGGGCAUUUCUAGACAUUAUCUUAAAUAACUUAAUUCAAGAUUUCCUCUGCUUGAGACUUUGGAGAUGCAACCCUCAAACUUACCUGAGAUUAAAAUUUCACAUCAUCAACUUGAGAAGUUUAAAUUGUUUAUUAACAGAGACACCAUACUUCAGAUUGACUGCAAAAAUCUUAGUUCUUAUGCAUACCUGGGCUCUCACAUCCCAUCCUUGUCAAUCAAUUCUUCUAGAUUACAGAAAUCCCAAAAUUUAAUAUCGAUCCAUUAUCCUCUAGACACUUCAUGGUUUCUGAAAUUAAGACAAUAUCUAGGAAACUUCAAGCAAACAGUUCUAUCCUUGAGGAUUGAUGAGUCUCCCACGGUAAACCUACAAAUAAAGUUUAUCAUUUUAUUAUUAUAAUUUUUUUAAUUUUGCUAACCUAAAGCUUAUUGAUUUAAUUUCUUGAUUUUAAUUUUUACAUGCUGGUAUCAUACUUGUCUUGUUCUAAUUAUGUACUUUUUUAGGACUAUUAAUUGUCACUUAAUUGAUAGAAUAUUAAUAUUCUUUCAUUUCUUUUCUUAAGGAGAGUUUGCAGGUUAAUUUUUUCCAAAUCUUCAUUCAUUCUAGAAAACCAUUUCCGUAAAUAGUUCAAGAUAUUUGAGUAUAAUUUAACAUAUAUCUUUUGAAUACAUAUAUCACCUUUACUACAGAGCAGUUAAGUGAACACUCAAUUCCUCCUCGCUCAAAUCUCAACCUCUUGAGUUUGGUAAAAAUUUUCCACCUUCAGAAGAUUAUAGAGCUCUUAUAGAUGGCUUGUUAUGGAGUACUCAUCCAGAAAGCCUAUCAGUAUCAUGUGUGCAACCAAACAGACCAUUCAUUGAUUUCCUACACAAGAACCUUUUAAUGGUUGAAGAAGAAGUUGCAGUGACCGUCAAAUCAAAUGUUGGCAGCAUGACUUAAAGGGGAUUAAAUCAAGAUACUUCGACGAGGAAAAAUGUGUAAAUUAUCCUCACCUUCAAGCAUCAUAUGAUUCCUUGCAAGGUAGUACAGCACCAAAGGAAAUUGGAUUUGAUUUAUUUUGGGUGAUUGAAAUUUAUGAAUAGGGUAAAAGUGAAUAUCUCAGUGAGAAAAAGUACUUUGAUUCAAGAUGAUGGAAUGAAGAAAGAGGAAGACAUAUGUUUAUGUUAAUCAAGGAGGUGACAAUAUAGUUUUCAAAUGCAUGGAAUGAAUUAAAAAGCAUUCUAGUGGUCCA